UUCGAUGAUGAAUACAAUUCA
rnacentral:piRNA from 1 species